AUUGAACGCUGGCGGCAUGCCUUACACAUGCAAGUCGAACGGUAACGGGCCUUCGGGUGCCGACGAGUGGCGAACGGGUGAGUAAUGUAUCGGAACGUACCUUUCAGUGGGGGAUAACGUAGCGAAAGUUACGCUAAUACCGCAUAUUCUGUGAGCAGGAAAGCAGGGGAUCACAAGACCUUGCGCUGAUUGAGCGGCCGAUAUCAGAUUAGCUAGUUGGUGAGGUAAAGGCUCACCAAGGCGACGAUCUGUAGCGGGUCUGAGAGGAUGAUCCGCCACACUGGAACUGAGACACGGUCCAGACUCCUACGGGAGGCAGCAGUGGGGAAUCUUGGACAAUGGGGGCAACCCUGAUCCAGCCAUGCCGCGUGAGUGAAGAAGGCCUUCGGGUUGUAAAGCUCUUUCGGCCGGGAAGAAAUCGUAUCAGCUAAUACCUGGUGCGGAUGACGGUACCGGCAUAAGAAGCACCGGCUAACUACGUGCCAGCCGCCGCCGUAAAAC
rnacentral:rRNA from 1 species